rnacentral:rRNA from 1 species
GAUGAACGCUAGCCACAGGCUUAACACAUGCAAGUCGCGGGGCAGCAUGGGGGUUGCUUGCAACCCCUGAUGGCGACCGGCGCACGGGUGAGUAACGCGUAUCCAACCUGCCCUUCACCACGGGAUAACCCGGCGAAAGUCGGACUAAUACCGUAUGUUGUCCAUUGACGGCAUCCGAUUUGGACGAAAGGCUUUGCGGUGAGGGAUGGGGAUGCGUCCGAUUAGCUUGACGGCGGGGUAACGGCCCACCGUGGCGACGAUCGGUAGGGGUUCUGAGAGGAAGGUCCCCCACACUGGAACUGAGACACGGUCCAGACUCCUACGGGAGGCAGCAGUGAGGAAUAUUGGUCAAUGGGCGGAAGCCUGAACCAGCCAAGUAGCGUGCAGGAUGACGGCCCUAUGGGUUGUAAACUGCUUUUAUGCGGGGAUAAAGGAGCCCACGUGUGGGCUUUUGCAGGUACCGCAAAUAAGGACGGCUA